UACAGAGGGUGCGAGCGUUGUUCGGAAUUAUUGGGCGUAAAGGGCGCGUAGGCGGCGCGGUAAGUCACCUGUGAAAUCUCCUGGCUCAACUGGGAGCUUGCAGGCGAAACUGCCGUGCUGGAGUGUGGGAGAGGUGCGUGGAAUUCCUGGUGUAGCGGUGAAAUGCGUAGAUAUCGGGAGGAACACCUGUGGCGAAAGCGGCGCACUGGACCACAUCUGACGCUGAGGCGCGAAAGCUAGGGGAGCAAACAGG
rnacentral:rRNA from 1 species